AACAUUAAUACAGCCAUAUGCAUACAGCAGUAGUACAAGUGUAUGAUUAAGGUACGCAUACGGUCUGAGAAAACACGCGUGUUAAAUGGAAAUGAAGGUUCAUUUAUACUGGCAUGUAUUUCUAAACGUAUAACUGCAUCUAAAACUAAAAAUCGUCAAAAUUGCGCUUACGGCUUACCUAGGCGACGAUAUAUGUAUGAACAGUGAAUAUCUCGAAUCAUCGACGCUUCGAUUAUGUGUGCAAGUAUCGAUGUGCCGAUGUUCCACAUAGUUUGCAAUCAAUUAUAAAACAUCGAUAUUUUAGUCGUAUCAUCGAUAAUAUCGAAUAUCGAUGAAUAUCGUGCAUCCCUAGGUAUCGGAGUUAUUCAUAAUUUGUAUUGAAAAAGUAGCGCUUUACAAGAAGUGCAGCCGUUGCAAGUAAGUUUUGCGUGUUAGGAUCCCUGUGUAUCCGUCCACGUAUGGCUGGUGCAGUCCACUCGGAACUACUUUGCUCAAGUGCAGCCUUUGCAUAUUUACAAGUUAAGAUUAUUUGUGUGUCCGUCCACAUUAGCUGGUGCAGGGAUUUUUACUACUGCAUCCUUUGGUUUAGUCAACUGCAGCCUUUGCAUAUUUACAAGCCAGGAUCGUUUGCGUGUCCGUCCAUAUCAGCUGGUGCAGGGAUUUUUACUACUGCAUCCUUUGGUUUAGUCAAGUGCAGCCUUUGCAUAUUUACAAGCCAGGAUCGUUUGUGUGUCCGUCCACAUUAGCUGGUACAGAGAUUUUUACUACUGCAUCCUUUGGGUUAGUCAACUGCAGCCUUUGCAUAUUUACAAGUCAAGAUCAUUUGAGUGUCCGUCCACAUUCGCUGUUGCAGGAAUUUUUUACCACUGCAGCCUUUGGGUUGGUCAAGUGCACCCUUUGCAUAUUUAAAAAACCAAAUGUAAUUAAAUUACGAUACUCAAGAUCUAAUUUUUAAAUGUAACAAAUAUAAUGACUUACAAGACUGAUUGGAGAAAAUAGUUGAAAACAUUACCAAAAAUUUACAUUUAAAAAAAACCAAAUGUAAUUAAAUUACGAUAUUGAAGAGAUAUUUUUAAAGUGUAACCAAUAUAAUUAUUAACAAGACUGAUUAGAGAAAAAAGAAAAAAAACAUUAAAAAAAAAUUACAUGUUUAACAAACCAAAUGUAAUUAGAUUACGAUAUUGAAGAUCUAAAUUUUAAAUGUAACCAAUAUAAUGAUUAGCAAGACUAAAAUAUUUAAAUUAAAA
rnacentral:misc_RNA from 1 species